AUGAACGCUGGCGGCGUGCCUAAUACAUGCAAGUCGAGCGAACAGACGAGGAGCUUGCUCCUCUGACGUUAGCGGCGGACGGGUGAGUAACACGUGGAUAACCUACCUAUAAGACUGGGAUAACUUCGGGAAACCGGAGCUAAUACCGGAUAAUAUAUUGAACCGCAUGGUUCAAUAGUGAAAGACGGUUUUGCUGUCACUUAUAGAUGGAUCCGCGCCGCAUUAGCUAGUUGGUAAGGUAACGGCUUACCAAGGCAACGAUGCGUAGCCGACCUGAGAGGGUGAUCGGCCACACUGGAACUGAGACACGGUCCAGACUCCUACGGGAGGCAGCAGUAGGGAAUCUUCCGCAAUGGGCGAAAGCCUGACGGAGCAACGCCGCGUGAGUGAUGACGGUCUUCGGAUCGUAAAACUCUGUUAUUAGGGAAGAACAAAUGUGUAAGUAACUAUGCACGUCUUGACGGUACCUAAUCAGAAAGCCACGGCUAACUACGUG
rnacentral:rRNA from 1 species